rnacentral:rRNA from 1 species
UGAGAGGACGACCCAGCCACACUGGGACUGAGACACGGCCCCAGACUCUUACGGGAGGGCAGCAGUGGGGGAAUUUUGGACAAUGGGCGAAAAGCCUGAUCCAGCAAUGCCGCGUGAGUGAAGAAGGCCUUCGGGUUGUAAAGCUCUUUUGUUCAGGGAAGAAACGGUCGAGGUUAAUACCUUUGGCUAAUGACGGUACCUGAAGAAUAAGCACCGGCUAACUACGUGCCAGCAGCCGCGGUAAUACGUAGGGUGCAAGCGUUAAUCGGAAUUACUGGGCGUAAAGCGUGCGCAGGCGGUUUUGUAAGUUUGUCGUGAAAGCCCCGGGCUCAACCUGGGAAUUGCGAUGAAGACUGCAAGGCUUGAAUCUGGCAGAGGGGGGUAGAAUUCCACGUGUAGCAGUGAAAUGCGUAGAGAUGUGGAGGAACACCGAUGGCGAAGGCAGCCCCCUGGGUCAAGAUUGACGCUCAUGCACGAAAGCGUGGGGAGCAAACAGGAUUAGAUACCCUGGUAGUCCACGCCCUAAACGAUGUCUACUAGUUGUCGGGUUUUAAUUAACUUGGUAACGCAGCUAACGCGUGAAGUAGACCGCCUGGGGAGUACGGUCGCAAGAUUAAAACUCAAAGGAAUUGACGGGGACCCGCACAAGCGGUGGAUGAUGUGGAUUAAUUCGAUGCAACGCGAAAAACCUUACCUACCCUUGACAUGUACGGAACCUUUGAGAGAUCAGAGGGUGCUCGAAAGAGAGCCGUAACACAGGUGCUGCAUGGCUGUCGUCAGCUC